AGGAUGAACGCUGGCGGCGUGCUUAACACAUGCAAGUCGAACGAUUAAAGCCCCUUCGGGGGUGUAUAGAGUGGCGAACGGGUGAGUAACACGUGGGCAAUCUGCCCCUCACUUCGGGAUAACUCAGAGAAAUUUGAGCUAAUACCGAAUACUCCGAUCGGAUCGCAUGGUCUGAUUGGGAAAGCUCCGACGGUGAGGGAUGAGCCCGCGGCCCAUUAGCUUGUUGGUAGGGUAAUGGCCUACCAAGGCGACGAUGGGUAGCCGCGCUGAGAGGCGGAUCGGCCACACUGGGACUGAGACACGGCCCAGACUCCUACGGGAGGCAGCAGUGGGGAAUUCUGCGCAAUGGGCGAAAGCCUGACGCAGCAACGCCGCGUGCGGGAUGAAGGCUCUCGGUCGUAAACCGCUUUCAGCAGGGAUGAAAUUGACAGUACCUGCAGAAGAAGCCCCGCUAAAUACGUGCCAGCAGCCGCGU
rnacentral:rRNA from 1 species